ncrna:Vibrio fluvialis PG41 NMT1 RNA
AUGAUGAGUAGAAGCGGUCAGGGGAGAUCUCCGGGACAUUGCUCAUAGA